GCGGGUGUGGCGGAAUUGGUAGACGCACUAGACUUAGGAUCUAGGGCCGUAUGGCAUGGGGGUUCAAGUCCCUCCACCCGCACCA
rnacentral:tRNA from 1 species